GUCGGGGUAGCUCAACUGGCUAGAGCGGGCGUCUCAUACGCGCCAGGUUGUGGGUUCGAGCCCCACCCCCGACA
rnacentral:tRNA from 2 species